rnacentral:rRNA from 1 species
GUGCCUAUACAUGCAAGUCGAGCGGACAGAUGGGAGCUUGCUCCCUGAUGUUAGCGGCGGACGGGUGAGUAACACGUGGGUAACCUGCCUGUAAGACUGGGAUAACUCCGGGAAACCGGGGCUAAUACCGGAUGCUUGUUUGAACCGCAUGGUUCAAACAUAAAAGGUGGCUUCGGCUACCACUUACAGAUGGACCCGCGGCGCAUUAGCUAGUUGGUGAGGUAAUGGCUCACCAAGGCGACGAUGCGUAGCCGACCUGAGAGGGUGAUCGGCCACACUGGGACUGAGACACGGCCCAGACUCCUACGGGAGGCAGCAGUAGGGAAUCUUCCGCAAUGGACGAAAGUCUGACGGAGCAACGCCGCGUGAGUGAUGAAGGUUUUCGGAUCGUAAAGCUCUGUUGUUAGGGAAGAACAAGUACCGUUCGAAUAGGGCGGUACCUUGACGGUACCUAACCAGAAAGCCACGGCUAACUACGUGCCAGCAGCCGCGGUAAUACGUAGGUGGCAAGCGUUGUCCGGAAUUAUUGGGCGUAAAGGGCUCGCAGGCGGUUUCUUAAGUCUGAUGUGAAAGCCCCCGGCUCAACCGGGGAGGGUCAUUGGAAACUGGGGAACUUGAGUGCAGAAGAGGAGAGUGGAAUUCCACGUGUAGCGGUGAAAUGCGUAGAGAUGUGGAGGAACACCAGUGGCGAAGGCGACUCUCUGGUCUGUAACUGACGCUGAGGAGCGAAAGCGUGGGGAGAGAACAGGAUUAGAUACCCUGGUAGUCCACGCCGUAAACGAUGAGUGCUAAGUGUUAGGGGGUUUCCGCCCCUUAGUGCUGCAGCUAACGCAUUAAGCACUCCGCCUGGGGAGUACGGUCGCAAGACUGAAACUCAAAGGAAUUGACGGGGGCCCGCACAACCGGUGGAGCAUGUGGUUUAUUUCUAAGCAACGCGGAAAAACCUUACCAGGUCUUGACAUCCUCUGACAAUCCUAAAAAUAGGAGGUCCCCUUCGCGGGCAGAGUGAAAGGGGGGUCGUGUUUGUCUUCACCUCCUGGCCCCAAAAUAUUGGGUUAAUCCCCCAACCACCCCACCCCUUGGUCUUAUUUGCCAGCAUU